AUGAAAUCCCUUCCGCCUCCAUCUAUAUCUUCACACUCUAACCCUAAAACUCUCCACCUCCAAAGUCCAAAUCGAAGGCUAUCUCUUUACCAGUCCAGGUCGUCGCCUCUAGCCUGUCGUCUCUGCCCUACAGCUGUGCUCCAGCCCGUCGCCUCCAGUCUCCACACCGUCGCCCCUCCACCCGACCACCCGUCAUCUCCAGCCAUCCAACAGUUGCCUCAGCCCUUCAGCCAUCCACACCGCUUCCAAGAAGUUGUUGAAUAAUAUGAAAGUGAAAUAGUUGGAGAUGUCCUUGGUACUUGGAAAUUUGAGCAAGAUGAAGCUUAAGUUUGAUGAAGGGGAGUGUUUUCAACACUUUUCCAUCUAGAAAGGAACUUGCCCAACAAAAUAUGAUGAAAAGAUAGAACAAUGUAUUUGAGACUUGAAGAUAUUGAAGAGUGAACAUUUGUGGUGAAAUCUGAAAUCUCUAUUAGUUGAUCAUGUCGUGGCCUAAUUAUGUACUCGUAUGAAACUUUAUUUUGGUCGAUAUUGAUGUUGUAGAAUAAAUAUUGAUUUUUGUUGGUUGAUGGAUGUUAA